rnacentral:rRNA from 1 species
AUGCACGCUGGCGGCGUGCCUAAUCCAUGCAAGUCGAGCGAACAGACGAGGAGCUUGCUCCUCUGACGUUAGCGGCGGACGGGUGAGUAACACGUGGAUACCUACCUAUAAGACUGGGAUAACUUCGGGAAACCGGAGCUAAUACCGGAUAAUAUAUUGAACCGCAUGGUUCAAUAGUGAAAGACGGUUUUGCUGUCACUUAUAGAUGGAUCCGCGCCGCAUUAGCUAGUUGGUAAGGUAACGGCUUACCAAGGCGACGAUGCGUAGCCGACCUGAGAGGGUGAUCGGCCACACUGGAACUGAGACACGGUCCAGACUCCUACGGGAGGCAGCAGUAGGGAAUCUUCCGCAAUGGGCGAAAGCCUGACGGAGCAACGCCGCGUGAGUGAUGAAGGUCUUCGGAUCGUAAAACUCUGUUAUUAGGGAAGAACAAAUGUGUAAGUAACUAUGCACGUCUUGACGGUACCUAAUCAGAAAGCCACGGCUAACUACGUG